rfam:Salmo salar isolate Sally breed double haploid chromosome ssa18, whole genome shotgun sequence.
GUUUGACAGUGAUGUAAGUCGCUCUGGAUAAGAGCGUCUGCUAAAUGACGUAAA